UUGUUGCUUAAAAUAAAUUUGCUUCCUAGCUUAGAUGCAAUAGAGGAAGCCAGUUUCUCGGGUGUUGCUGCAAUCCCCAGCUAACUUGUGGUAAAAGCUGAUAGGGUUUGGAUUCUACUAGAUAGAUUGGAGAAAAAGAAACCACCAAACACACAAUUUCAGUACAUUCUACUUAGUAAAGCCCUCAGAGUAGAAGCCUAAAACAAGCUCUGUACACAACAGGGGAAUCAGGCUGAGGCUUUUCCUUGGGAAGUUAAAGCUGUGACACAGACUCAGCCCUGUGCUGCUGGGAUCUCCACCUGGAGCUCCCAUUAGCACCUUCAACUCUUGACAGCUAAGAUGGGCUCCUUAUUUUCCCUCCCAAACGUUUUUUUUUUUUUUUUUUUAAUCUUGGUUGGUGAUACCACCUGGCAGUUUCUGGGAGCCAUGGGAACCAGGGAAGGCUUUAUCCCUCCUGCUCCCCACGCUGAUUUUUCUUCUGAAAACCACCAUUUUCAACCAUCACAGAAGCCUCCUCAUGCCAUGGAUUUCUACAGUGCCACCUUGGUGAUCUCUCUAAACUACAAAUGAAUAUCUUUUGCCUCGUUUGAAAGCUGUUUCUGUUUUCUAUGAACAAGAUGCCCCACUUCCCCUGUCUUCCUGGUGACAAGCUCAUCCUUGGAAACGCUACAUAGAUGUCUUUUCUUCUGGGCUGUUUGAUUCUCCCAGUGACUCAAUCUGUCUCCCUCCUCCCUCUGGUUGCGUAGCUACCCUAAAGGUCCAUUAAGUUAAGGGCUUCCCAUCUGUCUUCUGUACUGGGUGGUGAGUGCUGGGAUAGUGGUGGUAGUGGGUUGGUGUUUGCUAACUCUGUCCAGCACGCUGCCUAGCAGCUAAUAACAGAAGCUCAGUUAAUACCUGUUGACUUGAAUAUGCAAACAAAUCAUCGCAUCCUAGUAAUCCAGAGAAGAUGGGAUAUGCUGUCUUCUAAGUAGGCAUCUUAGAGCCCCCCAGGCAGCUACAGAUUGGGUGUCCCUAAUCUGAAAACCUGAAAUCCAAAAUUCUUCAAAAUCUGAAAUUUUUUGAAUGCUGACAUGACUCUCAAAGGAAAUGCUUAUUGGAGCACUUAGAAUUCUGCAUUUUUGGAUGAGGCAUGCUCAACUGGUAAGUGUAAUGCACACAUUCCAAAAUCUUAAAAAGUCUGAAAUCUGGAACACUUAUGGUCCCAAGCAUUUAGAAGAAGGGAUACUCAACCUGUAAUAGCCACUGCAUGGCUUUGUCCUGCCCUGUUUCUGUGUGUAUUCAACAGGGUGACCCUCUUCCUCUCAUGUCCCAUCUACUUUCCAUCAUCCACCCCUUCCACAUCAGUAAGUGUAUUUCUCAUACCAUCUACAUGUCAUUGAAUUUGGAGUAAGUAGACCUAGGAACUUACACUGGCUCUGUUAGCAAUUAGUUGUGUGACCUUGGAGAAGUCAUCUAUUUUUUUCUCAGCUUCAGGUUUUCCACCUAUUUGGAUUCAUUUUAUCCUCUCAUCAUGAUAAGGUAGGCCCUGUUAUUAUCACCAUUAGAUAGAGUGGAAACGAAGUUGCGUAGAAGUUAAGUGACUUGCCUAGGGUCACUUAGCUAGCCAGUGUUGGAGCAGGGGAGUCUAGCUCCAGAGUGCAUACUCAUAAAUGUUCAUGUACUCUUGGCAUCCUGGCAUUUCCAGUACCAGAACAGCCUUGCUGGCAGUGUUUUCCAGGCCUAACAAUUUGCUUGGCACUUAGAAGGCAUUAGUGUAUACUUGUUGGAAGAGUAGAUGAAGCGUGACCCUCACCUCCAGGAACUUUCUGUGUGGUGGCUUGGUCACAGAAAGUUAUGAUAUGAGGUCAGAGGCAGAGAUUUUAGGAGGCUUGAGGACCUGGGAGGAGGGAGAGACCCAUGCUGCCUGGGGGUUGGGGGCUGGCUCCAGUGUGCUUAACUUUCCCGGACAAGGAGCUGGUGUCUCAGCCGGACAGUGACCAGCCUCUCUGGUUGUGUCAGGACAACCUGGAAUGUCUCUUGAACUAGUCACCCAGAUAACCUCAAUUUUAAGAGAAAUAUUAAGUAUUUGAUUUGUAGAAGCCUAUUAAAAACAAAAACAUUUUUUUUUCUCAGUGCCAAAGAGAGAAGAAGUUAAACUUGCCAUCUGAACAAUGGAAUUCCCAAAGCACAAAUAAAGAGCAACUUCUUUUGUAAAAGGAUUUUGAGUCUAAAGAGCUUGUCUAGAGGAAGCUAUCAUGAGCCACCCACAUUUGCAAUGCCCCUGGUGUGGAAGGGAAUAGAAUGUCAGCAGAGGUUGGCUGAGAGAACCACAGGUAG
rnacentral:lncRNA from 10 species